rnacentral:rRNA from 1 species
AUUGAACGCUGGCGGCAUGCUUUACACAUGCAAGUCGAACGGUAACAGGCCUUCGGGUGCUGACGAGUGGCGAACGGGUGAGUAAUGCAUCGGAACGUACCCAGAGGUGGGGGAUAACGCAGCGAAAGCUGUGCUAAUACCGCAUGUGAUCUGAGGAUGAAAGCGGGGGACCGAGCAGCAAUGUUUGGCCUCGCGCCUUUGGAGCGGCCGAUGUCGGAUUAGCUAGUUGGUGGGGUAAAGGCCUACAAGGCGACGAUCCGUAGCUGGUCUGAGAGGACGACCAGCCACACUGGGACUGAGACACGGCCCAGACUCCUACGGGAGGCAGCAGUGGGGAAUUUUGGACAAUGGGCGCAAGCCUGAUCCAGCAAUGCCGCGUGCGGGAAGAAGGCCUUCGGGUUGUAAACCGCUUUUGGCAGGAACGAAACGGUGUCCGCUAAUACCGGGCGCUAAUGACGGUACCUGCAGAAUAAGCACCGGCUAACUACGUG